rnacentral:lncRNA from 1 species
GGAGACCAGAUCUGAGGCAUAAAAGAAUAUAAAUUAUGCAGAGGAGAUAAAUCUAAAUAGAUCUUGCUUGGUUGAAAACAUUUGUUGUUGUAUUAGAUCACUAAUGAAGAUGAGAGGUUGAGAUAGACAAGAUGAAGAAGAUGAAAAGUAGCAUCGAUUGAGAGAGAGACAUUAGAUUGUUUGAGUUUUCAGAGAGAUAAAAAAUUGAGUGAGAAUACAUGAAAGUUCAAGCAGUAGACUUCAGCUUUUUGAAACUAGGAAAGAGAAACGUGAUUAGAUUUUAGAGGCUAAAAUUAAUUUAAUUAGUAUUAAAAUACACAUAAAGAAAGUGAUCACGUGGGUUUGUCUCAAGAAGAAAGAGAAAAGGCUGAUUGACCAUGGAAAAAGCAGUUUAAUAUUACUA